rnacentral:rRNA from 1 species
AUUGAACGCUGGCGGCAGGCCUAACACAUGCAAGUCGAGCGGAUGAAGGGAGCUUGCUCCUGGAUUCAGCGGCGGACGGGUGAGUAAUGCCUAGGAAUCUGCCUGGUAGUGGGGGAUAACGUCCGGAAACGGGCGCUAAUACCGCAUACGUCCUGAGGGAGAAAGUGGGGGAUCUUCGGACCUCACGCUAUCAGAUGAGCCUAGGUCGGAUUAGCUAGUUGGUGGGGUAAAGGCAUACCAAGGCGACGAUCCGUAACUGGUCUGAGAGGAUGAUCAGUCACACUGGAACUGAGACACGGUCCAGACUCCUACGGGAGGCAGCAGUGGGGAAUAUUGGACAAUGGGCGAAAGCCUGAUCCAGCCAUGCCGCGUGUGUGAAGAAGGUCUUCGGAUUGUAAAGCACUUUAAGUUGGGAAGAAGGGCAGUAAGUUAAUACCUUGCUGUUUUGACGGUACCAACAGAAUAAGCACCGGCUAACUUCGUG